rnacentral:snoRNA from 1 species
CCGAUUGAUCAAGAAGAUCUUGUUGCAUAUAUUAUGAAUGGUCUUGAUGCAGAUUUUCAUCCUGUCGUGGAGGCACUGAUGGCAAGGACUGAACCAGUCAAGGUGGCGGAGCUGUACUCUCAUCUACUGAACUUUGAGA